UUUUAAUACUAAAACUAAUAAAGAGAAGUGGUAUUAUUGCCGAUAAUUCAAAUAUAACCCAAAGUUCUAAUUACAUGGACGAAAGCAGUUAAAUGUCACUGAACAGCCUUCAACAGUGAGGAAAACCCAUACUGUAUAGUCAUAAUUAAAUGGCCCAAAAUGAAAAAAAAGUGAAAGAGUUCAAACUAGGAAAAACAAAUACGAC
rnacentral:lncRNA from 1 species